UACGGAGGAUCCAAGCGUUAUCCGGAUUUAUUGGGUUUAAAGGGUGCGUAGGCGGGAGAUUAAGUCAGUGGUGAAAGUUUGCAGCUUAACUGUAAAAUUGCCAUUGAAACUGAUUUUCUUGAGUGCAAAUGAGGUAGGCGGAAUGUGUUGUGUAGCGGUGAAAUGCUUAGAUAUAACACAGAACCCCGAUUGCGAAGGCAGCUUACUGGGAUGCAACUGACGCUGAUGCACGAAAGCGUGGGGAU
rnacentral:rRNA from 1 species